UCGACAUCAACAUUAGCAACAUGUGCUCGUGUGUGCAGCAAUCAUGGCAGCAACCGACAGUCGUGCAUGCGUGCUGCACUGCAUUCUGUGCUUUGUCCUGAUCGCCUUGCGUGCUUCGUGCGGCACGAAAUCGACAAACAUUUGGCAAUUGUGUCAGUGACAGACAUGAAGAACUUCAAGCCUGACGACGACUUUUCGGCGGGUUUUUAUAUGGUGAAGUGGACAAACGCGGCCAGCACGUGUGCCCACUACCUUGCCAGAAUUUUGCAGAUCGGAGGUUGUGGCGCGACUAGACCGGAAAAGGACCAUGAACAGUAUCCCGCAUUGCAUUUUUCUUAGUAAUAAAGCUUUAAAUCCUACUUUUCA